CUUACCCGCAACCUCCACGAGAGAUGCACAGAAGGAGAUGACACUUUUCUCUAUCUUAGAUCUAAAAUACAAGCUUUUCUCUUCUCUGCUCAAAACUUGGAUAAAAUAAUAAUGUCUAACGACAAAACUCUAAACCAAAUAAUUUCUCAAUUAUUUUGAAAAAAGAAUAAUUCUAGCAAUGGAGUCUGAGAUGAAAGACAUGAAUUCGAAGCCAGCUCACUCGACAACAGCCCUCGCUGAUGGCUCAACCACAGACGACAGUCCUCUUCUUAAGGCUGAGUCCACUGAGAACAUCGAGGAAUUGGAGAAGAAAUUUGCAGCUUUUGUGCGCAGAGACGUGUACGGCACUAUGGGACGUGGCGAACUGCCGUUUACGGAGAAGGUUUUACUUGGUAUCGCCCUGGUCACGCUAGUUCCAAUACGAGUAAUAUUGGCGAUGAGCGUAUUGAUAUUGUAUUAUCUGAUUUGUCGGAUUUGUACGCUUUUCUCGGUUCCGAAUCGGGACAAGGAGCAAGAAGAUUACGCACACAUGGGCGGGUGGAGAAGGAGCGCUAUUGUGUGGAGUGGUAGAUUCUUGUCUAGAGUUAUCCUUUUUGUGCUUGGGUUUUAUUGGAUUAAGGAGACUUACAGGAUUUCUGAUACUCAAGAUGAGUCAUCAUCAUCUUCUCAGAGUGGGGUCAAUAAUGAAGUUGAAGAACCUGAAAGACCCGGUGCCAUUAUAUCUAAUCAUGUAUCAUAUUUGGAUAUUUUGUAUCAUAUGUCUUCUUCUUUCCCGAGUUUCGUCGCCAAGAGAUCAGUCGCUAAACUUCCUCUAGUUGGUAUCAUCAGCAAGUGCCUCGGUUGUGUCUAUGUUCAGCGGGAGUCUAAGUCAUCUGAUUUUAAGGGUGUUUCAGAUGUUGUGACUAAAAGAGUUCAAGAAGCUCAUCAAGAUAAGUCUGCUCCAAUGAUGAUGCUAUUUCCGGAAGGUACUACUACAAAUGGUGACUUUCUACUUCCUUUCAAGACUGGUGCAUUUUUAGCUGGAGUUCCUGUGCUUCCUGUGAUUCUCAGGUAUCCUUACCAGAGAUUCAGUCCUGCCUGGGAUUCAAUAUCUGGGGUGCGUCAUGUCCUUUUUCUUCUCUGCCAAUUUGUAAAUCAUAUAGAGGUGACCAGGUUACCUGUCUACUAUCCCUCACAGCAAGAGAAGGAUGAUCCAAAAUUCUAUGCUGAAAACGUUCGAAGGAUGAUGGCUAGCAAGGGUAAUUUGAUAAUGUCAGAUAUAGGACUUGCUGAGAAGCGAAUAUAUCACGCUGCUCUCAAUGGUAAUAAUAGCCUGCCUAGUGUUUUGCAUCAGAAAGACGAUUGAUACGCUCCCAAAUGUUAUCUAGUAUCAGUUGAGCUUCUUAGUUUCUAUUGGCAUUUUCUCAUGGGUGCACAACUAAAAUGGCAGUGGUUGCCUCUCCUCUUUUCACUCAAAAGAGAAACUGGUUUAUUUUCACCAAGCUAAUUCGGAUUCGCCAUCUGUAAAUUCUUUGUAUGAUUCUAUUAUUUGUGCAAAAAUAUUAGAAUUGAUAUUCAAAAUCGGUGCCGAACAAUUGUUUUAAUUGUCAUUUGUGAUCAGUUGACAAACAAAUUACCUCAAUGUUGAAGUAUAGUCGUGGAGCUAAACUAGCGUUUUCAAAGAAGGCCAUCCAGGAAGUUGAUGUGUUCGUUGUUGUGGCUUUAGGCCUUGUGAUUGUUGCUCCUUGGUCUUCAGUGUCUGAGUUCAGUUCAUAGAAACAGAGGCUGCCUUUGUAUUGCCGUGACGCAUUUCUUAUGGUGGGCUCACAUCCAUUGGUUUUUUGAGCAAAUGUUUGCUGCUAAGUGUCGGUAUUUAACCUUGUAAUCAGUGGGAGGGAGGCUCGGCAUCUGCAAUUUUGCUUGAAUUUCCAAAUUUUGACCUCUUAAUAACUGCCACCACUCAAGGUCCUAAGCUUAGAUAUAUUAGGGUUCAAAUGUUAUGUAAUGUCGGUCCUUCAAUUGUAAUAAAAUUAUAUUUAUCUAUUUUUUUAAAUAUAAUCAAGUUUUUUAGAAAAUA